CCCGCUGAACUUAAGCAUAUCAAUAAGCGGAGGAAAAGAAACUAACAAGGAUUCCCCUAGUAACUGCGAGUGAAGCGGGAAGAGCUCAAAUUUAAAAUCUGGCGGUCCUUGCGGCCGACCUAUUUGCAGUCUGAAUAACCUCUUUCCCCGACCGAGCGCGAACCCCUCUUCUCGAGCGGACCUACAUAGAGAGAGACAAUCCCGUCUCUCACACCCACCGCCCAUUCUUUAUGUCACACGCUCACUCAAAGUCUAUGUGAUUGCAAAUGCAACUCAGAAUGAGAGUCCAACUCCAUCUAAAUCUAGAUACUGGACAGAGACCGAUCGCGAACCAUUACCGAGAGAUAAAGAUGACUAUCACUUUAGAGAGAGACUUAAACAGUACUUGAAAUUGUGGAAACGCAAGCAUUCGAACUCGUCCGCGUCAGCUCGGACUCGCCCUUGCUUGUUUGCUCUUCGCGCUUCUCGGGCCACCGGCCAUCUUCUGUUUCGAACGCCGGAUAGAGGAAGGUGGAACCUGCCGUCCUUCUAUGUGUGUCAUACCCCUACGUCUCCAGACAGCGAUCAAUAUUGAGCAACUCUGCGAUGCUUCCUCAGUGGGUGCGACCCCGGGCGCCCGCAUUAACAAGCUUAGGAUGCUGGCAUAAUGGCUUUAAGCGACCCGUCUUGAAACACGG
rnacentral:rRNA from 1 species